rnacentral:rRNA from 1 species
CAUGCGAGUCAACAUAGCAAUAUGUGGCAUACGGCUCAGUAACACGUAGUCAACAUGCCCAGGGGACGUGGAUAACCUCGGGAAACUGAGGAUAAACCGCGAUAGGUCACUGCUUCUGGAAUGGGCAAUGACUUAAACCUAUAUGGCCCCUGGAUUGGACUGCGGCCGAUCAGGCUGUUGGUGAGGUAAUGGCCCACCAAACCUGUAACCGGUACGGGCUCUGAGAGGAGGAGCCCGGAGAUGGGCACUGAGACAAGGGCCCAGGCCCUAUGGGGCGCAGCAGGCGCGAAAACUCUGCAAUAGGCGAAAGCUUGACAGGGUUAUUCUGAGUGAUUUCCGCUAAGGAAGUCUUUUGGCACCUCUAAAAAUGGUGCAGAAUAAGGGGUGGGCAAGCCUGGUGUCAGCCGCCGCGGUAAUACCAGCACCCCGAGUGGUCGGGACGAUUAUUGGGCCUAAAGCAUCCGUAGCCGGUUCUACAAGUCUUCCGUUAAAUCCAUCUGCUUAACAGAUGGGCUGCGGAGGAUACUAUAGAGCUAGGAGGCGGGAGAGGCAAGCGGUACUUAGUGGGGUAGGGGUAAAAUCCGUUGAUCCACUGAAGACCACCAGUGGCGAAGGCGGCUUGCCAGAACGCGCUCGACGGUGAGGGAUGAAAGCUGGGGGAGCAAACCGGAUUAGAUACCCGGGUAGUCCCAGCUGUAAACNANGC